rnacentral:rRNA from 1 species
GACGAACGCUGGCGGCGUGCUUAACACAUGCAAGUCGAACGGAAAGGCCCUGCUUUUGUGGGGUGCUCGAGUGGCGAACGGGUGAGUAACACGUGAGUAACCUGCCCUUGACUUUGGGAUAACUUCAGGAAACUGGGGCUAAUACCGGAUAGGAGCUCCUGCUGCAUGGUGGGGGUUGGAAAGUUUCGGCGGUUGGGGAUGGACUCGCGGCUUAUCAGCUUGUUGGUGGGGUAGUGGCUUACCAAGGCUUUGACGGGUAGCCGGCCUGAGAGGGUGACCGGCCACAUUGGGAAUGAGAUACGGCCCAGACUCCUAAGGGAGGCAGCAGUGGGGAAUAUUGCAAAAUGGGCGGAAGCCUGAUGCAGCAACGCCGCGUGCGGGAUGACGGCCUUCGGGUUGUAAACCGCUUUCGCCUGUGACGAAGCGUGAGUGAAGGUAAUGGGUAAAGAAGCACCGGCUAACUACGUG